UUGGAGAGCUCCAAGUCAGAGGAACACCUCUGAUACAUCUCUGCUUCCAGGACUGUCAGAAAGCCUGAACUGGGAUGUACAUUCUGGAGAUUAAUGUUCGAGUCCAUUGAUGUAGUAGGAAUAUGACGAAGGAGGUUGUUGCCUGUCAGUGAUUGCAUGUGCUGCUUCUGCUUCCAUUUUAAUAUUACCAGUGGCUGAGGCAUUUUUAUAAGGGUACAUCAUCUGAAAAAUCAAUCAUUUCCCACCCAGCACCUCACCAAAGCCAGGCUGAUUUGGAGCACAGGGCACUGGCUGAUCAUGACAUAUGUGACUGAAUGAAUGGGGGGUUGUAGUAAAUGCAAUUAGGAUGAUUUCUCUGUAACCUACUUGGAAAGUUUGUGAAGAACUUUGUGUAACUUUUUAGAAAUUCUAUAUUAUCAUACUUAAUAUUUCUUGGGAAGUGCUAGAAUAGGAUAAUCAGACUAUCCUUCAUAUCUUUUUGGAUAAGAAAAUGUAGGCUUAUCAAUGAACUGGAGGAGGUCUGGGUAAAAAAA